AUGAGACACAGCGCUGAUUUCUACCUGCUUCAGUCCAACUCCACUUAUGUGAACAGCUGGUCUGCUCUCCAGAGUCUGGUCAUCAUCACUGCCGGAUACCUGCAGCUCUACUUCCUCAAGAGACUCUUCAAAACCAAACCAGCAGAGGGAGACAAACCCCGCUUCUGGACUCCACUGAUGGUCAAAAUUGUAUCACUGUGGUACACAUUCGGUGGAGGAACUAAACUGGUGGUGAAAUCUGGUCCCACAGUGAAGCCCUCAGUGUCUCUGCUGCCGCCCUCUUCUCUGCAGAUCUCUGGAGACUCAGCCGCACUGCUCUGCCUGCUCAGCUCUUACUCUCCACAGGGGGCGCUGGUGAGCUGGACACUGGACGGCUCAGAGGUCACCGAGGGGGUUCAGACCAGCGCAGAGAGCGAGCGGGACGGGCGCUACAGCCGCAGUAGUGUCCUGACCCUCAGCAAAGCACGCUGGGAAAAAGGAGAGCUGUACGUCUGCAGAGUAACACAUGAUGGAGCUCCUCAAGAGGUCUCGUUCCAGAAGAGUCAGUCGCAGUGCUGAUGUUUCUCCAGUGAGCGCUGCUCUCUCCUGAAGAUGAGGCGUAUCUGAGUGUCCUGUGUCAGGCAGGAUUCACAUGAGUCUAGUGCUGCAGCUGUAGUCAUUUACAACUCAAUACUGAAAGAGAGCUCUAGUGUCAAAGCACUGGCUGAUCUUUCAAUCUGCUGUGUUUGCUGUAACAUUCAAUAAAGCUUCUCAACAAGCUCCA